UUAAAUAUGGACAAUCUAUCAACACCUCAGAGUGUCAUGAAUGAUUCAUUGAUCAUUCAUUAACAUGUUUGAACUGUUGAAGAUUAAAUCAACCCUAAGACCAAUUAUCAUGACCAAUAAAAUAUAAUCAACCAAUGGCUAAAUACAAGGGUAAAAAUGUCUAAUUAAAAUGGUAAAAAUAAAAUGACUAAUGGAUAAAUAAAAUAUGGAUGUUUGAUGAAAAUUAUUUACAACAAUAUUGGAUUAAAAA
rnacentral:lncRNA from 1 species